rnacentral:rRNA from 1 species
GACGAACGCUGGCGGCGUGCCUAGUACAUGCAAGUUGAGCGCUGAAGGUUGGUACUUGUACCAACUGGAUGAGCAGCGAACGGGUGAGUAACGCGUGGGGAAUCUGCCUUUGAGCGGGGGACAACAUUUGGAAACGAAUGCUAAUACCGCAUAAAAACUUUAAACACAAGUUUUAAGUUUGAAAGAUGCAAUUGCAUCACUCAAAGAUGAUCCCGCGUUGUAUUAGCUAGUUGGUGAGGUAAAGGCUCACCAAGGCGAUGAUACAUAGCCGACCUGAGAGGGUGAUCGGCCACAUUGGGACUGAGACACGGCCCAAACGCCUACGGGAGGCAGCAGUAGGGAAUCUUCGGCAAUGGACGAAAGUCUGACCGAGCAACGCCGCGUGAGUGAAGAAGGUUUUCGGAUCGUAAAACUCUGUUGGUAGAGAAGAACGUUGGUGAGAGUGGAAAGCUCAUCAAGUGACGGUAACUACCCAGAAAGGGACGGCUAACUACGUG